UUGGUUUUCACCCAUGGGUAAAAUUGACAGAAUUUUUUAUCCAUUGGGAUUGGGACCAAUCAAAAUUGAAAAUAUUGGAAUUUUAUCUUUUCCACCACUUUUAUGUUGGCAAUUGUGUGCCGUAACCGCAGCAAUAUAACCAAACAAGCCAAAUCAGCUGACAACAAAAACAAACAGCUAAUUAUUUAGUCGGAACUAGUAGUGAAAUCUGUGAUUGUUCAAGCAGUUUUUUGUGACAGAAAGUUAUUUAAAAUGUUGGAAGAAGAGAAUGAAAUGACCUGCACGCCACCUGACAUUCGCAAUAUCGCAACGAGUGCAAUAGAAAAUCUUCUACCACAAAAAUCGCGGCACAAAUAUGAGUGUGUUUAUGAAAGGUUUUUAAAAUGGCGCGCAGAAAAAAAUACAACUUCUUUUUCUGAAAAUAUUAUAUUAAGUUAUUUUGUGAUGCUUGCAGAAAAGUAUUCAUCUUCUUCUCUUUGGAGUUACUACUCAAUGCUUAAAAGUACGUUAGUCAUUCGUCACGAUAUACAUAUUGAGAACUAUAAAAAACUUCAAGCAUUUUUGAAGCGCAAAUCUGAGACAUACAAACCUAAAAAAUCGAAAACUUUAUCUUCUGAAAGUAUAAAGGAGUUUAUCGAGAAAGCACCAGAUGAAAAAUAUCUUGUAACGAAGGUGGCUGUAAUAAUGGGUAUAAUGGGUGCCUGCAGAUCUCAAGAAUUGCAUGCAAUGAAACUAGAGCACAUCGAAGAUUUAGAUCGAGCUUUGCUUGUCAAAAUUCCCGAUACCAAAACAAAAGUUUCUAGGAGUUUUACAGUAACGGGAGAAUAUUACUAUAUUUGCAAAAAAUAUAUGAAUCUUCGUCCAACCAAUAUACAAUGUUCAUCUUUUUUCUUGAAUUUUCAAAAUAAUAAGUGUACAUCGCAAAAAAUAGGUAUUAACAAGCUAGCUGCCAUGCCGAAGAGUGUUGCUACUUUUUUGAAUCUUCAAAAUCCUCAGUUAUAUACAGGUCAUUGCCUACGGAGAUCAUCUGCCACACUUUUGGUUGAUGGAGGUGCUGAUAUUACCACCCUCAAGCGACAUGGGGCAUGGCGGUCAACAAGCGUGGCUGAGGGGUACAUAGAUAACAACUUAAACAAUAAACUUCAAAUAGAUAAUACAAUUUUAAGAGAAGUUAACAGACCGUGUACAAGCACAUCUGUAAGUAAUGUUCAAUGUACAACUACAAAAGUUGACAGUACCACAGCUGUAACCAAGAAUAAUUGCGAAAUUAAUCUUGGCAAGGAUCCUCCUUUUACUUUCAAUAAUUGUUCUAACUUUACCAUUAACAUUUAUAAUAAAAAUGACAAUGUAACUAACUAAUAUAUUCAUAUCCAAAAGUAUUAAAAUUAACCAACUAAAAAUGUAUUUUUCUUUUUGGUUAUUUAAUCGUAGAUAAAAUUAUAGUUUAAUGUUCAAAAGAAUUAAAAUUGAUCAACUAAGAA